AGAGUCCCUAACUAAGCCAGAAGCGUUGUGGAACGCUGCUGAUCGGGUCUGGGUGUCCCUGACUCCCACCUCACAUUGCCCGAGACGACAUCUUUGACUCCCACCUCACAUUGCCCGAGACGACAUCUUUGACACGCCUAGAGCUCCAAUUUGGAUCUUCUAAGCUCAAUUUGGUUCAGAUGGCGCUGUGCACCACACUCUGCUGGGCCAUCUACCGGUAACGUCGAGGGACUCGACAACCUCAGGGAGGUUGUUCCUCCAAAGCCUGGAGUUAGGGCGAGGCUCCACUCUGAUCCACUCUCCUCUCCUCUGCAAUCUUAUAGACAUUAUGCAUCCACCACAGCCGUCAAUGGAUCCUAAAACGUAUAAAAACUGCUUCCUGCUAAUACAUUCAUUCAGGAACCUUCCAGUGAGUGUCGCCUGUGUGACAGGUGCAGUUCUCAGAGCUGGGGGUAUGGGGGCGAGCAAAGCAGAUGACUAAAUGAUGCCCACUGCCCGUGAGACGAUGAAAACAUACAAAUAAAUCUGUCACGUAACGUAAUCUCAGUCAUCAGUCGUACUCGGAAGAGAAAAUAAGCAGGUUCUUUCAGUGGGCUGGUCUGAGAAAGCCUUUCUGUGGGGUGACAGGUGAGCAGAGGCCUGAAUGAUUCACAAAAUGUGGCUCCAACCUCCAGGGCCCCUGAGAAUGACCUGAGGAGCUUUUCAGCACCCCUGAGGUGUGCUGACCUAAUUGGUCAGGGCCAGGGUCGGGGCGCUGGGGGUUUGAACUCUCCCAGGUGGUCUUAAUGUCCAGCCGGGGUUGAGAACCAUUGACUCUCAAUACCUCAGCAGAAAAUCAUGCCCCUUGGUAGAGUAUUUUCCUGUAACUGAAUGAAAAGGGUUCCAUGAUAGGACUCAGAAAGGUGUCAGCGACUCUUCUCGCUGCUGCUGACUGACAUAUGGCGGGCUGCAUCCUGGAGGCCUUGGGUUGGGAUUGGACCGGUGGUGACACUGUCCCAGGCGGCUCCCUGAAGUCCAGCCAAGCUGGGCGGCUGAGCUCGCUCGGCCGGCCGGAAAACACACCUGACCCUGUGCCAGGCCUCCGGGCCCAGGAAUCAUCUUAGAAAGGAUCCCUCUCCUACCCCCAUGUGAGUACACUUGGGUGCCCUACCUGGGAGCAGAGGACCCUCCUACCACCUGUCUGUCUUAAGGUAGGGAGCACGCUUUCUGCUGUCCAGGUGACCACCUUAAGCUGCUUCUCCUACAACUACACCUCUCUGGCUUUGUACCUAACUCCCUGCCUCUCCGCCUUCUGCUCUGGAAUUCAUCAAGAGUCUCAGGCUAAACACAGAGGACAAACCAGUGGCUGCCAGAGGGAAAGGGCGUGGGGAGUGGGCAAAAUGGGUGAAGGGGAGAGGGAGAUACAGGCUUCCAGUUAGGGAAUGAAUAAGUCACAGGAAUAAAAGGCACAGCAUAGGGAGUAAAGUCAGUGACACUGUAAGAGCAUUGUAUGGUGACAGGUGGUAGCUACACUUCGGGCGAGCAUAGCCUAACUUACAAACUUGUUGAAUCACUAUGUUAUACACCCGAAACUAAUGUAACUUUGCGCGUCAACUACACUCAAAUAAAUAAAUGGGGAGGGGGAAUCUUUAAGGGAAAGGGGCUCUCGGGACUAGAUUCUGGAACUAUUGAGUGGGCCCAGGUGUGCUCUGGGAGCCUCAUGGACUCCAGCCCUCAGCUGCUGACACUGAUUCUGUCUCGUUUGGGACACAUGGGUCCCAUCUCCACUGGUGCCCAACAGUGAGCUGCCUUGGAGAGCAUUUCCUUGUUUCAGACAAGCUGGAGGUUGUCUUUCCCUCGUCUGAAAUGCUGGCCAGGAAUGGCUCGCCACAUCCACCUUCCUGAGACUCGUGCUCCAGGGCAGAUCUUGCCCUCAGACACUGAAGUGCUCAAGAAGGCGAGCGGAGGAUCUAGGCUGAGAACAGACAUACUAAAGGGAACCCUCGGGGCGCCUGGGUGGCUCAGUCAGUUAAGCUUCCGACUUCAGCCCAGGUCAUGAUCUCACGGCUCGUGGGUUUGAGCCCCGCUUCGGGCUCUGUGCUGACAGCUCAGAGCCUGGAUCCUGCUUCAGAUUGUGUCUCCCUUUCUCUCUACCCCUGCCCAUGCUCUCUCUCUCAAAAAAUAAAUAAACGUUAAAAGAGAGAGAGAGAGAGAGAGAGAGAAGAGAACCCUCUGUAAUGAGAUCUCCAUGGUAUUUGUCCUGGGGCCCAAGGCCACAGUUCUCUUUCUCUUUAUUUUUAAUCAUAGAAAAUUCAAAGCAAACACAGGAGUAGAAAGAAUUGUAAAGUGAAACCCCAGGGACCCCGUCAUCCAGCUUCAACAGGUUGUCAUCUGUCAUCAUAACUCUAGGAGCCGGGGAUAGGGAAGUACAGUAGGUUUCAGAUAACAUGUCAUGGUACCCAUAAAUAUGUCAGAGGCACAUCUUUAACAGCAUUUUCAACACGCUCACCAUGCAUUUAUCACCUAAUGCCACAGUAGUUCAUAUUCAUAUUUCCCUGUUGUCUUUUUUUAUUUGGUUUUUUUUCAACUUUUGAGUGGGGGUGUAGAGGGAAAGAGAGAGGGGAGACUCUUAAGCAGUUCCAUGCUCAAUUAGGAGCCCAACACAGGACUCACUCCCACGACCCUGGGAUCAUGACCUGACCCCAAAUCAAGAGUCGGAUGCUCAACUGACUGAGCCACCCAGGCGCCCCGCCCUAUUGUCUUGAAGGUCAGUUUGCUUAAACUGAGACCAAAUUGUUCCUUGAUAUGGGCAAAUAUCGUAUUCAUUUUCCAUUUAACCCACUUCCAACUCCCCAGUUCUUGUUGGGUGAGGAGCAGGAAGUUAGGUAAGAACAUUGACAGUGACUUGAGAGGUUUAGUGGAAGGCACGUGUGGGAUCUGGAUGAGCCUUCUCUUCCCUGCUCUCUGAGGGAAAGACAAGCUUACUUGUUAUGAGCCUUAAAAUUCACAGACAGUGAUCUGUUAAGUACUCAUCAAAAGCAAAUAAGCAUUAUUACAUAAAUCCCCAACAGUAUUUCGCUAUAUAUAAAAAAAAAGGUAUUAGUUAAGCUCUAUUCUCUGAUGUGAAAAGUCAACUGAAUCACUCAGAUAAUUCUUAAGAAAUGCAUUCAAUGUUUAAUGGCCUUGUUCUUAAAAGAGAUACCCUCCCCCACCCAGUCAAACCACUCUUUUGAGUUUAGAAGUGUUACUUAACAAAAACAAAAUCCACUGUUCUUCCUUCCCUCGGUCAUUAGAAGAUGGUCUUUAGCUCUUGGUUAGUUUUCAUUCUUUUCCCUGGAAGAGGUUCCCCUUAGAAAGGAAGGGAGAGUAAAUCGAAGAGUGCAGGGCGUUAACAGGGAUCUAGUGGAGGGUAGAAUGCUAAAUUGUAACUUCUCGCUGGGCAGAAGAAGAUUUUGCUAUAUUUUAUUUACUAGGUUGACUCCUUUGUUGAUACAAAUCCCAUGAGAUGUUGUAAUCUCUUAGCUAUGCUUUAGAGGAAGGUUUUAGUCUCCUUCUGCUACUGUAACACAUUGGUCAAACUCGGUGGCUUAAAACAACACACAUUUAUCAUGGUAUGGUUCUAGAGAUCAGAAAUCUAAAAUGAAUUUUACAGCACUAAAAUCAAGAUGUUGGCAGGCCUGGUACUUUCUAGGAGCUCUAACCGAAAAUGCGUUCCUUGCCUCUCCCAGCUCCUAGAGUCCGCCCACAUUCCCUGGCUCGUGGUCCCUUCCUCACAUCACUCAGACCACUUGCUUCUGCAUCACAUCUCCUGCUACCCGCCCUGGUCUCCUGCCUUCCUACUAUCAGGAUCCUUGUGAUCAUGUUGGGCACCCGCAGGUCAUUAGGAUGAUCUCUCCAUCUCAAAAUCUUUCAUUUAAAUACAUCUGCAAAGUCUCUUUUUUGCCAUAUAUGGUAAUAUUUACAGUUCAGGGGAUCAGGAUUUGGGCAUUGCUUAAGGGAAGGAAUGAGCUGUUGAAAAUCCAGGCCUCAUAAACCACCCCAGAACUCUCUCUUCUUUUAGUCUUCUUGGGGGUGGCCAGUUGACAGUCACAUACACUGUACUCUGGGAAAUCCAAAGCUGGUCAUUUGUUGAAGGGUAGAAAUUUGUGGGCCCCGAAGCAGAUAAUAUGCAUUUUCUCCCUUGUGAAUCAAAAUUGUUCAAAACUGUGAGUAUCCAUAGACAACUAUUGAGAUAUCAUCAUCAAAUAGCUUCAGUCUUGGACUUCUGUGGUUUCUAUGGGGUUGUGCAAACAUUAGGUACAUUUGCCAUCCCUCUCAAAUCGGGGCAGGGUCUAGGACUGCUUUGACCGUGUCCAGGCCUUAGGAGUCAGACAGCUUUCACUUCCUGUCUCCCAGAACCCUGGAUCUGGAGGCCUAAUCUUCCACGUAAGAAGUCCAACAACCUUGCUGGGGAGAUUGCAUGGAGAGGUCUGGAGGUUGCUGGGAGAGGAAGAAAGCCACAGCCUCCCAGCUAUCCCUGCCAGGGCACCAUUUAUGUGAGCAAGCUGUCGUGGAUCUUCCAGACCAGCUCACUCCGGCUGAAUACCACCGAAUGACUCAGUCUACACCACAGGCAGAAGAACCACCUUAUCAAGUCCUCUCUGAAUUCCUGAUCUACAAAAUUGUGACAUACAAGAAAGCGGUUGUGGUCUUAAACCUCUAGGUUUAAGUCUGUUCUGCAACAAUUCGAUGACCAGACAGAAUUUGGUGGCCACUACUCACACACGGUGUGCUAGUCACUCUCUAGAGGGGCUAAGGGUAGAAACGGAGGGGGCAGCCAUCCCCAAAUCCCAAUCCACAGUAUCAUCAGAGAGUAUAGAUUUGGACCUUUCCUGUCUACAUAGUGAGAAACUGAUGGAUUGACUCAUCUCCGAAGUGAGGAUCAUGGCAACAAAGAGUCAGAGUUUUUUUGGAGUGACAAAUGGAAUAAGAAGAGUUUUGUAAUCUGAGAAGGCCUAUCCGGAUGUCGUACUUAGUAGUGGUAGUUAUAGUAACGGUGUUAUAGGAGAAUUAAAUGGAGAACACUCAUUCUCUGCUUGUUUAAUAUUGUCUCCAAGGGUGGGUGUUGAUAACAGGUUUCGAGCAAUAUGAUUUUGCAUCAUAACUCAUUUUCACUGUUGAGAAGGAAGAAAAGGACAAGGGAAGAGGAAAACAAGUUAUUAUUUUUUUCCUCCCAGAGAGUUUGGGACCUAGAGUGUUACUUGCUAAUGUAUUACGUAAUUGUAGAUUAUGUAAUUUGUGGACACAUGUAUUCUCUUCCUGUCCUGAGCUGACCCUCCCCUCUCUUGCUUUCUCUGAUCCCCGUGCAAUUUUCUGUGUAUCUUGCCACUACAAUAGAAUGAAAAUGUAUUUUUUAGACCUCAGCUGAGCCUGUGACUGCCUAUUUAAAACCAAUUGCCCUCCAGAAAGUUUGAUCAAGCCUCGUGCAAACAAUGAUUAAAGAGCUGGAGCGGAAUAAGUCGGCCUCUCCAGGGAAGACAGUUCAUGCAAUCAAGGCAUGAACUUGAGCCCAGAAAAGAGCCAGCACAUGUAGUGCCUUUGCAGACAUUUCAAGUUUAGUCUGUCCAUACUGAGGUCUGCAAAAGAUUAGAAGCUGGAAUUCUAGGCCUGUCAGGAACCAGACCCACACAGCCUCUGGGACCAGAGGCCUUUGGUCACAAGAUACGGGGGCCUCUUCUCAAGCAACUGAGACAGAACAUGCAAACACGUAUUUCUGUCUUGUAGAGUAAGAUUCCUGGGCCGGAUGUCCAUUUUCAAUUUUAAAAACUGGUUCAGAAUUCUCCCUGUGUUCUUAGCCAUAAGAAAGGCUUUGCUCACUGUUGACUAGCCUACCCUGAUGGAAAACAAACAGAAUGUUAGGUUUUGAAAACAACACAAAUCAGACUUCCCUGCCGGACCACCCUGUUUAAGGACAGCAGGAGAGAUCCAGGUGGCUUUUCUGUGCUUGAGGUUUUCACCUUUUCACUGUGAGAGUUGCUCUGAGUACGGUUAGCACAGCUCUUGUGAGGUCAGGGUGCCAUCUUCCAAAGACAGGACCCCUUAUUUUGAAAGAAACCGGCUGCAUCCUAGGCCAGAUAUUGGAAGUCAGAGACCGGAGGGCAUCCCACGGCCUGGAGAGAAGGGGAAAUUGCCAAUACUGUGUUUCCCGGUGGUGAGCUGUGUUUGUUCAGGCGGAGAAAGCAAUGAAAGUGUUCCUUUCUCCCGAUGAGGUGAAAUUUCUCCAGACCAAAUUCCCUGACACCCAGUGAUUAUACCUCUGAAGCGGCCAAGCCCACAGCACACAGGAAGCAACAGUGACGUGCCCUGGAGAAGACACAGGUGCUACUGAACUGAGACGAGCCCAGUGCCCUUGUUCUCCUUCAGGACGCGGAGGGAGAAGAGGGUCCCUAAUGCCAUCUGGACCGUCGUGGAGAAUCAACUCUCAGGUGCCUUCCAUCCAGGCAGUGCCUCCAGCGCCAGGCCUUCACGACCCCGAACCACCUGUAUCCACCCUAUUCAGGCUACAAGCUCUGUGUGCACUAGGCACUCAGGAAAUGCCCACUGAAUGAAUGAGUCUGAUCAACUCUGGAGGCAGUUGCAGAAGCACCGGCACAGCAGAGUCUGGUGGAGGACAGGUGAGGCAGAGGACGGGCUAAGUGGGCACGCUGGCUGGGCACCACAGUUAGGUAUUUGCACCCUGGUCUAGCAGCUUUGGGGCAGGAUCCACUUAGAGUCGUGUCCUAGACAUUUUCCGGACAGAAAAAUGUUGAAGCUCAUUUUGUAACGUCUGGAUGAAUGAUCUGGUAAUACUUUUUCUGGCUUUUCAAUAAAUUGUGAAGUGAGUCAAGAAUGACAUUUCUUGUAAGUUCCUUCUCAAUAAUACACCACCUGCCUCCUGCCAUACUUGAACGCAGAGCAGAUAAAUAUGAGUUGUAUGAAAUGACAUGAUUUAUUAUUCAAUAGAAGUGUCAAGUGCAGGACACUUCCACCCGGUGGACAUACAUAGCUGGUCAUCAGGCCUUUCCUGAACUGUCCCGGAAGUGGCCACUCCAGUCUUGCUGUCUCCUGUUAUUUUGUAAAUAGCAUCAAUCACCGCCCACAGUCAUGCGUAGUGUCCUGAUUGGUCGUCUGCCUCCCUGCCUUAGAGUGUAAGCAACCUAUAAACAAGGGCUCUGUCUACUAUUAACUGGGCACAAGGUAGGUGUUCAGUGAAUGCAUGACUGAAGCUGGUAUUUAUUACCGAGCAGAGCCCCUCUGCAAUAACAGAAGCAAACGUUUUUUAUAUAGGUUUGUUUUUUUUUUUUUUUUUUGGUCUCUGCAUCCAUGCAAGACUUUAUAAAAGCAUUCUUUCAGUAAAACAUACAAAGGUAAUAAAACAUUUUAACAACAUGAAUGAAAUGAGCAAAAGAAAGACCUCUCUUAUCCCGUGAUCUCUCUCUGCGAUGAAAAGAAGUUCUGAGUAACAUAGAGGGCUUCUGAUAUAAAAUGUUGACAGUGUAAUCUCCUUUUAUUUUUUUACAGUGGAGUUCUUACAUAAGUACUGUCUAACCAAAGAACAGUCUCUAGUAUUUACAGAAACGAAACCAUAUUUACAACCCUUUGGGAUUUCUUCCAUGAUAGGAUUUUUAAUGACUACAUGUUUUGUUGUAUGGAUUUCCUUAUUAUUGUGCCUUUCAGUUAAUAGUAAUUUUCAUUAUUUUAAGUGCUGUUGCUAUUAAAAUGUUUGUAUUAAUAGUUACAUCUUUGUGCUAAAUAAUUACUUCUAUGGAAUCAAUUCCCUAUAAACAAAUUGUUAAAUUGAAGGAUAUAAAUAUUAUCAAAACUUGGGCUAGCUUUCCUUAUUUCCAAGUUCUUGAUCUAUAAAACUGAGUAGAUUCUUAACUCCUCCCUGGAACUAGAGUCCUGCUUUUUGUCCCUCCCAGUGGCUGGGAGAUUGGCUCUCGUAUAUCGGCCUCCCAGAUGUCUAUUUUAUAUCACAGGCGUACCUCUCUGUCAUGGCUCCCUUUCCAGAUUUCCAGAUUCUCUGCCCCACUGUUCUGUCUUCUGAGGCACACCAUUUUUCUGAACCAUAUUUGACAUUACCAGACCCCUUGCACAGGGUCACCCUUGCCCUGGUGGGUGUCCGGAGUCAGGUGCUGCCUUCCCCUAAUGCCCUCUCUAUCUCGUGUGUAAACAUACACAAUAGUCUUAAGCCGUGACAACUGUUACAACGUCUUGGCUUUUAUGGCAUAUUUCUGGUCAUCUCUGAAACUUACACAUUCCUGCUUCCUUGCUCAUGUACUCCCAAAUGUAACUCUCGAUUGUAACUUUAUUCCUUUAAUAAAAUAUGAUCUUCUUUAUAAUGAUCAACUAUGUGGCAUGGGUUCUGGGAUGCCUCAUGGGAAAACCGCAUGACAAUUACUGACAGCCCAUUAAGAGUAAUGACUCUAAUUAUCUUAAUCAUAAAGGAAUGAUAUUUAACGUGUUUUAAAAUUUGUUUUAUUACAGUAAAAUACAUACAACAUGAUGUUUACCAUUUUAACCAUUUUUAAGUGUAUGAUUCAGUGGCAUGUAAGUACACUCAUAAUGUUGUGUGACCAUCACCAUAAUCCAUUUCCAAAACUCUUGCAUCACCCUAAACAGAAAUUCUAUAACCAUUAAGCAAUAAUUUCGUAUUCCCCUCUCUCCCAGCCCUGGAAACUUGUAUUCUACUUUCUGUCUCUGUGAAUUUGUCUCCCCCCCCCCCCCCACCAUGAGGGAGGGAGAUCAUGAGCAGGGGGCAGGGGCAGAGAGAGAGAGACAGACAGAGACAGAGAGAGAAUCUUAAGCAGGCUCCAUGCUCAGCAGGGAGCCCAAUGUGGGGCUCGAUCUCACAACUGUGAGCCAAAAUCAAGAGUCAGAUGCUCAGCUGACUGAGUCACCUAUGCACCCCCAACUUUUCUAUUCUUGAUAUCUCACAUAAGUGGAACCAUACAGUGUUUGUCUUUUUGUGUCUGACUUAUUUCACUUAGCAUCAUGUUUCCAAGGCUUAUCCAUGUGUCAGAAUCUCAUUCCCUCUUUAUGGCUGAAUUAUAUGACAUGUUCAACUCAGGACAUUAUUACUGCAGUUUUAAGCAAAAUCCACCAGGUGGCAGAGGAAAGGACUCAACAGAAAACAUGCACAUUUCUAAUUUAAAUGAAUAAUGGCAAAUAGCUGAUUACUUCUGUUAAUAGAAAAGACCUGCAGACCUUUAACAUGAAAUUCACUCUGCGAGACAUAGAACUAAAUGGGCGAUUUAAAUCCGAUUUAAACCUGAACGCCAAUCUUUGCCUGAAGAUAUUUGCUACUAGAAAAAAAAAAAUGGUGCUUAUUCUGAUUUGCCUUUGCACAAUUUCCUUCUUCUGGGAGAGAGACUUUCCAGUUCUCCCCUCUCACAGUUCACAGGAUGCACCAAGUGCACCAUCUCCCACCCCCACUGGGCUCACCGUGGCCACAGCCUCCCCACUCCCACCAGUGCCCAGCAGCUAUGGAGCUUCUCCAUGCUUCACCACUAGUAACAGAUUUUUUUAAAACUCAAUUUAUUUAAGCUAAAAAACCUCACAAAACAGUUCAUCCAUUGCUCCCACCCCUAACCUUCUCCCACCCCCUCUUGUGCAACCACCAAUCUGUUUUCCAUAGCUGUGAGCUUGAGAUAUAUAUAUUAUAUAUAUAUUUAUAAUAUAUAUGUUAUAUAUAUAUAAUAUAUAUAUAU